AUUGAACGCUGGCGGCAGGCUUAACACAUGCAAGUCGAGCGGCGAUGAGGUGCUUGCACCUUAUCUUAGCGGCGGACGGGUGAGUAAUGCUUAGGAAUCUGCCUAUUAGUGGGGGACAACAUUCCGAAAGGAAUGCUAAUACCGCAUACGUCCUACGGGAGAAAGCAGGGGACCUUCGGGCCUUGCGCUAAUAGAUGAGCCUAAGUCGGAUUAGCUAGUUGGUGGGGUAAAGGCCUACCAAGGCGACGAUCUGUAGCGGGUCUGAGAGGGAUGAUCCGCCACACUGGGACUGAGACACGGCCCAGACUCCUACGGGAGGCAGCAGUGGGGAAUAUUGGACAAUGGGCGGAAGCCUGAUCCAGCCAUGCCGCGUGUGUGAAGAAGGCCUUUUGGUUGUAAAGCACUUUAAGCGAGGAGGAGGCUACUUAGAUUAAUACUCAAGGAUAGUGGACGUUACUCGCAGAAUAAGCACCGGCUAACUCUGUGCCAGCAGCCGCCGUAACAC
rnacentral:rRNA from 1 species